rnacentral:rRNA from 1 species
UACAGAGGUCCCAAGCGUUGUUCGGAUUCACUGGGCGUAAAGGGUGCGUAGGCGGUCGGGUAAGUCUGAUGUGAAAUCUCACAGCUUAACUGUGAAACUGCAUUGGAUACUAUCCGGCUAGAGGAAUGGAGGGGAGACUGGAAUACUUGGUGUAGCAGUGAAAUGCGCAGAUAUCAGGAGGAACACCGGUGGCGAAGGCGGUUCUCUGGGCCUGUACUGACGCUGAGGAGCGAAAGCAUGGGGAGCGAACAGG